rnacentral:rRNA from 1 species
AGUCUGGUGCCAGCAGCUGCGGUAAUACCAGCUCCAAUAGCGUAUAUUAAAGUUGUUGCAGUUAAAAAGCUCGUAGUUGGACUUGUGUGCGCUGUCCGCGGGUGGCCUGCGCCCAAAAGGGCGUUUCGGUUCGGCCCCGGUGGCGCCUUGAAAUCUGCAGCUGGGGGGACGUUGGCCUUAACUGGUCGGCGACCGCACGCCGGCUGCUCGGUUACUGUGAGAAGAUUAGAGUGUUCAAGGCAGGCAUUGGGUGCAAUUGAAUACAUUAGCAUGGAAUAAUAAAAUAUGGCUCCUGCCGUAUUUUGUUGGUUUUGACUGGUGGGAGUAAUGAUUGAUAGGGACGGUUGGGGGUGCUAGUAUUGAGCGGCCAGAGGUGAAAUUCAUGGAUUCGCUCAAGACUAACUUAUGCGAAAGCAUUCACCAAGGACGUCCUCUUUAAUCAAGAACGAAAGUUGGGGGAUCGAAGACGAUCAGAUACCGUCGUAGUCUCAACCAUAAACUAUGUCGACUUGGGAUCGGCGGUAGUUUUUUCAUUAAGACACUGUCGGGACCACGGGAGAAAUCAAAGUGUCUGGACUCUGGGGGAAGUGUGGUCGCAAGGCUGAAACUUGAAGGAAUUGACGGAAGGGCACCACCAGGAGUGGAGCCUGCGGCUUAAUUUGACCCAACACGGGGAAACUUACCAGGUCCAGAGAUGUAGAGGAUUGACAGAUUGAAGCUCUUUCUUGAUCACUUCGGUGGUGGUGCAUGGCCGUUCUUAGUUGGUGGAGUGAUUUGUCUGGUUAAUUCCGUUAACGAACGAGACCUCAGCCUGCUAGUGUAGUCGGCUGGAUUGCCUUUGGCGAUCCGUGAUUUCGACUUCUUAGAGGGACAAUCGACGCGCAGUCGAUGGAAGUUUGAGGCAAUAACAGGUCUGUGAUGCCCUUAGAUGUUCUGGGCCGCACGCGCGCUACACUGCUGGGCUCAGCGAGUUUUACUUGGCCGAGAGGCCCGGUUAAUCUUGUGAAAUCCCAGCGUGCUUGGGCUCGCCUCCUGCAACUGGAGGCGCCAACGAGGAAUUCCUAGUAAACGCAGGUCAUCAACCUGCAUCGAUUACGUCCCUGCCCUUUGUACACACCGCCCGCCGUUCCAUAAGAGUGAGGCAUCCGGUGAAUUCUCGGGAGAGCCUGGGCGUGGCCAGCAAUGGUCUGCUCGGGUUUGAACUUGCAUAAACUUGGUGCCUAUGAUUAGGG